AAUACUACAAAUAACAAUAGCUAGAAUCAGUAUGGAGCUCUUGCUCUACCAAUAACACGUAAUACAAUUGGAAUCACAAUAUUACAAGCUCUACAAGUGUGAUAGCUGGCUACAGUAAUUUAGAACUCCACAAUUGUCUUCAAUCUUCUUCAGAAUGGAGCUCCUGUCAAUAGCGAUCACAAACUGGGAACAUGCUCCUGUCAUAUGAACCAUAUGCCAUACUCACUAGACAACCAUAGUCAGGAUUAGGCUGUGACCUUCAUUACAAACAGCAAUAUGAACUUCCAUCCCUUCCACGGUCACCCUGUCAAGGAUUGGUGUUGACUCGCAUUAAAAAGAUAUAAAAAAGAUUCCAUACGGACUAGCAUUCUAGAAACUAACUAGCAAGGAUCACAUAUAUUGUUGUAAAGGCAUUCCAUACUAUUAAGAUGGACCAAAUUCAUGCAGAUACAACAUGUCUCACUAGUUCAAAGCGGAGCCACAGGAAGCUUACCAUUGCGCAAUGGAUUUACCAACAAAAGGGCCAGGUAGAUGGCAAGACCAACACAUAUUAUCCAUCCCUGGGUCCUCUAGCUUCCAACGUGUUGCCUCCUCCUUGCCCUUCCUUCAAGAAAAAUAACUUCCUUCAAGAAAAACAACACAUGGUCAGUGCUGCCCUAAUAUAGCAAUCAAGAGUGCUCUAACUUUUCACAUGGUUAGCUUCUAUUUAUCUGGACAUUUGGAUCAACAUACAUCCAAAACUAGCUAAAUAUGAGCACAAGCUUGACUCGUGUGACCAACAAUUUAUUGAUGAAAAUCAUUAAUCAGGAACUAAAUAUUACAUUUUGACAAUCAACAAAUGUUUGGUAAAAUGACAACUUCAGAAGAAAAUGGGCACUCAAGCUAGUUCAGUUUUAGAAAUGUACCCCGUUCAUGAGACCAGCAGCAAAGAACGCAACGAAGCACUUGAGAUAGCCUCGGUUCACCAAGGGCUGGAGAACUUGGCGGGCAACACCAACAGUGAGUCUUCGCUCCAUUCGUGCUUGCAGAGGUACGCCUGGCCAAGGGAGUAGUCCAGCGCUCGUUCCACGGGGACUGCCACCGCACUGCCGGACUCGCAUAUACCUGCCAACAUCACGAUACUGUAAGAUAAUUAUAAUCAGGAAAAAUCAAAUUGAUUCAAGCAUAUUACUUGCUGGGGGUACCAUAAAACAUCAUUAUGUGGCUACAAUUUUUUGCUUUCUAUAUACCAUUUUCAUCAAUCUCAGAUUUAACAAAGCAAGAACUACAAAUGCAACGUAGCCUCAAAUUUAACAGAGCAAGAACUACAAAUGCAACAUAGCCUCAAGAACUAAGUUUGACAUGUCAUUUUAAAGAUGUGUUGACCUUUAUUUAUUUCUAUUCUUGGAUGAGAAGGUUAGAGCAAAGUUAGCUUUCUUGUCUGCGUAAGGAUGAGAAAUAAUAACUGUAGUGUUGCAACAUAAGGACAGUACAGAUUCCAUAAUAAGUUUCAGGAACAUCACAUCUAGCACAGUUGCAGAGAUGGCACAAAAUUCUUCUAUGCAAUGUUCAACAUAUUUGUAAUAAUUUUCAUAAGCAAUGAAUCAUGCCAAACAAAUUAUGAGUUAUGAAGUGGUUUCAAACUAUAACAGUGAAGGACUAGACCCGCAAAAGACAAUGAUGUAUAGGCACUAAAUGUACAGCAAGUAAUAAGAACAGAGACCAUAAAUGAUACUAAUCAAGGAUAAAAACAGGUAGGUAUCAUAUAAUUCUCAUCACAAUCAUACAGUGAAUUCAUUAAAGGCUAUAGAUAUAGAAGUAUCAUGCAACCAAAAGGGUUAAGACCAUACACAAGGAUCAGUGUUAGCAGAAUUGAGAUAUAUUUGUACAGGGUAAUGAAAGGUGCCAAUCCAGUGCAAGAUAAUAGAGCAAAUAUGUCAAAGUUAUUUAGAUUUGCUAAUGUGUUUGUCACACUACCAAAAUUCAAGAUAAACCAUGACAGGGAAACGAGUGAAUUACAGCAAAGGAGGCAUCUAAUUUGACUACCAGUACCACAAUCAUUGAGUGAAAGCAAACACCAGAGAAUUCAGAAAUUUUUUGAACUGAAUGCAAGCAAGUUUGAUCAUGACAUAGCAAGUCUGUAGUCCGUAAUUAGAUUAGAUGUUCUAACUCAUGAUCCACAUACAUAGAGACCUACUGGAAUCUGCUUACACUUAAACUAGAAAGGGAACAAAAAAACUGAACCUAACUAUGCAGCAGAGAGAGAUAGCAUGGGGGGACGACCUAUGGACCAAAUUGUCCUUCACCAGAUCAUUCAAGGGAGCACAACAGCAGUAGCAGACCUUGCAUGUUCCUUCACACAACCAGAUCGGAGCAACCUACAAAGGAACGCAUGAAUUAUAUGGGGAGAUGGAGAAGAAGAUGAUAAGAGAAGUGGAGGAGCAAGUGACAAACCUGAGAUGGUGUUGCUCCUCCUAGGUCGCCAUGGACAAUCUGAUCCCCACAUAAUCUUUCUCUCCCUUCCUUCACAAAACCAGAUUAGCUCUCUUCACGAACCUGGAAAAAAAGCAACCAUAUGCAAGAUACGUUAAGUGUACCUGAAAUGUCUAUAGAGUAUGGAGUGAAUAAAAGAUAGUCUUAUCGGAUUCAUCAAAUGCAAUGGUUUGAAUGGCCCUUGAGGAUGCCACCUACUUAUUCCAUAGGCACUAUCAUCAUCAGUAACCAAUCAUAUGCAAAGGAAACACUUAUCGCGCCCUUCGCUUUGAGCAUCUUAACAUGCAGACUAUGCUAAGUGAUGCACUGGUAGGGUGAAACCAAAGAGCAAAAGCCUUAGACAGAAUCCAUUAAUUGCCACAGAGAUGCAUUCGCAACUACAGCCCAAUCUUAUAGGAUUAUAACGUGAACAUGAAGUAGCCAAUACUUAUUAGAACCAAGAAUUGCAUGACACAUAGCACCACAAAGUAUGUACAGAAACCCCACAACUUGCUCACAAGUUGCAACACAGCUAAUAAGUACUAGAAAGCACACUUAUAGCCAAUAAGAUCAGUUCUUCCUGAUUUGAUUAAAUACUAAGAAAAUUAGUACAAGUGUGAUCUGGUCGGUGUUUCUGGGCUCAUAUGAUAUGAUGAGUUGACUGGCAGACACCUAGAAUACUGUUAGGUGGGAUUCCAAAUUAAAAUGUUAUACUAUUCACUACUUGGUAGGACUUGUAAUCACAUCAAGUAUAUCCCAGAUGAUGUAAAUGGAAACUCUGAAUCGACUAACGAGUUGCAGCGCUGCUAUGUAAUAAAAAGCACAAAGAUGAACCCGCAGAUCUAGCCCAAUUAUUCUUUGCGCAUCAAACACUGAUGCAUCACUCAAAGUAGGAUCGCAGUGUUUGUUCCACGGUGGCUGAUAACUGAAUGGCCGAGAUCGACCGCCACCAUUGAGCAGUUGGGAGUGUGGCUGCUGCGCCAUCUGAUCGAUCGAUUGCAAUGGGGCCGCCAGUCCAAUCGUGAGGGCACAUGGAAGAGGAAUCAGAAGAGGCGAUUAGGACCAAGCAAUAUACAGAGGGGGCGGGAUUGGGGGGCCCGCGUGCGCGAUACCUUGGAGGUACUACUGCUGCUGGCGCUGGGGCGGCUGGUCGUCCUUGGCGGCCGCCUUCUUGCUGGCCUUGGAGGGCUUGUCGGGGUCGUCGUUGUCUCCUCACGCAUGGGCGCGCCGACCGUCAUGGUUCCGGCGACCUUCGACGGAGAGGAGGGCGUCGGCGUCCUUGGAGAGGAAGCAGAGGAGGCCGAGGGAGCGGAGACGAGCACGAACUAGUUGCUGGAGUUGCAAAUGGUGAAGACGGGUGUGCCAGUGAGCGUGCGCGCGACCUCAUCGAGCCCGAGCAUGAGAGACUGGGCGGUGCUAUGGGGCCUCGGCAGGCGCGACGCGUCGAGCGCGGGGCACGGGGCGGCAAAGCGAGAGGGGAGGUUGGAGAGGUGGUGCUUGAGGAAGGAGGAGGCAGCGGCGAGGGGGUUGGGAGGCAGGGAGGGUCGGGGGAGGCCCAGCGGCGAGCUAUGGUGGGGGCGACGGCAGCUGCGGGAAUGGAUCUGAAUCGGGGAGAAGGGGGCGGGGGCGACGGCGGCAGCGGGAAUGGAUCUGAAUCGGGGAAAGUGGAGAGAGG
rnacentral:lncRNA from 1 species